UGGGGAAUAUUGCGCAAUGGGCGAAAGCCUGACGCAGCGACGCCGCGUGAGGGAUGAAGGUUUUCGGAUCGUAAACCUCUGUCAGAAGGGAAGAAACCGCACUGUGCUAAUCAGCAGUGCCUUGACGGUACCUUCAAAGGAAGCACCGGCUAACUCCGUGCCAGCAGCCGCGGUAAUACGGAGGGUGCAAGCGUUAAUCGGAAUUACUGGGCGUAAAGCGCACGUAGGCUGCUUUGUAAGUCAGGGGUGAAAUCCCACGGCUCAACCGUGGAACUGCCUUUGAUACUGCUAAGCUUGAAUCCGGGAGAGGGUGGCGGAAUUCCAGGUGUAGGGGUGAAAUCCGUAGAUAUCUGGAGGAACAUCAGUGGCGAAGGCGGCCACCUGGACCGGUAUUGACGCUGAGGUGCGAAAGCGUGGGGAGCAAACAGG
rnacentral:rRNA from 1 species